GGGGCCUUAGCUCAGCUGGGAGAGCGCCUGCUUUGCACGCAGGAGGUCAGGGGUUCGAUCCCCCUAGGCUCCA
rnacentral:tRNA from 6 species